rnacentral:lncRNA from 1 species
CUCACAGGUUCUUCUCUUUUUCCCCUGGUGGGGAGAUAUAAACAUGGUUGGCAUAAUGGCAGAGGGACUUCUCAGAGAAAAACAAUAUGUCUCUUUUUUUUUUAAUAGCUCUACAUCAGAAUUUCUUUCAAAUUGUAGGGGAAUUCUUCACUUAUUUAGUGUCACGUAUAGCUAAUAUUUUUUCAUUUUUCAUAAAAGGCUAAUAAAACCCAUGUGGUUAAAUAAUUGGUUUUCAGGAUUGCUUCUGUGAUGGGUGUUUGUCUUUAUUCCAUCACAAACUGUCAUACUGUGCCUGUUACUCUGCUGUGUUACUGUGAGGAGGAGCUCAGUACAGUUGAACCAGAUGCAGUUGCACAGAAUAUAUCACUUCCCAAGAGUAAUUAAUUUGGCCACUAUGAUGUUUAUCUUGCUUUAGUCUGAUUUUUUUUUUUCCCAGCUUUGGCUUUCAUUAGUGUGCUGUCCUCCCUUGUCUGUCACCUGCCAGAAGACAGCACCAUUUUUCUGUGGGUUUGGAGGGGAGCUGCCAUAGGCUGCAUUCUGGUUUGUUCCUGGGCAAGUGCCUGACCAUGAAACAGUCACACUGCACAGCUCCCCAUGUGCACCAUUUAUAGAAGGACCAAGGGCUGCAGCUUGUCCUGCAGUCCUAACAGAGAUCAAGCUGUUACAAGGCAUAUUUCUAAGAAGCUGAGAUUAACAUCUGUCCAUAAUGAAGACAGUCUGGAUAAAAUCUCUUCAGAAGUGAUUAAGGGAAAAUGCAGAAUUUACUUUCACUGAGAAAAGGAAGAGAAGAUUCAGAACUUUAUCUUUUCAGAUAUUUUUGCCGUAACUUUCAGACUAAGAGUACUCGAGACUGGAGCUUACUGCAUCUCAUAAAUACAGUCUCACUUUGAAGUAAGCCCAAGUGAAAUGUUCUUCUUUUCCUUGAAUAUCAAAGGUAAUCCUAUAUCUAGGAAUACAGCUACUUGUUUCCCUUUGAAGCAAAUGCCACAGUAAUU